UACGUAGGGGGCAAGCGUUGUCCGGAUUUAUUGGGCGUAAAGAGCGUGUAGGCGGCUUUACAGGUCCGUUGUGAAAACUCGAGGCUCAACCUCGAGACGCCGGUGGAAACCGUAAGGCUAGAGUCCGGAAGAGGAGAGUGGAAUUCCUGGUGUAGCAGUGAAAUGCGUAGAUAUCAGGAGGAAUACCGAUGGCGAAGGCAGGUCUCUGGGCUGACACUGACGCUCAUGCACGAAAGCGUGGGGAGCAAACAGG
rnacentral:rRNA from 1 species